rfam:Capsella rubella cultivar Monte Gargano unplaced genomic scaffold scaffold_1, whole genome shotgun sequence.
UGCCAAUGAUGUGUCGUUACAAUUGCACGUAUUAUCAGAUUUUUGGUGAUGAAUAUCAUUGAUGUCUGAGGCA